rfam:Ixodes scapularis strain Wikel colony gcontig_1108378488902, whole genome shotgun sequence.
CCCUGGUUAUCUCAGUUGGUAGAGCGCUCCACCUGUAAUGGAGAGGUCCCGGGUUCGAUACCCGGACCAGGCG